rnacentral:tRNA from 1 species
GGCCUUAUAGUUGAAAAACAACAUUAAACUGCAAACUUAAAAGUGUAGGCACUCUACUAAGGCUU